rnacentral:rRNA from 1 species
AUUAUACUUAUUACAGAACAGAAUAAACCAGGGUAUUAAAAGAUAUAUUCUUGAAAUUCAAAGAAUUUGGCGGUAAUUUAGUCUUGUUAGAGAAACUUGUUUUAUAAACGAUACAACACGAAAAAUCUUAUUUACUUUAGUAAGUUUGUAUACCGUCAUUAUCAGAUAAUUUUUAUAGAAAAAAUUAUUUAAAUUAAAGAUUUAAAUAUAUUAGAUCAAGGUGCAGCUUAUAGGUAAGUAAAAAUGAGUUACAAUAAAAUUUAUUUAACGGAUUAACAAUUACAAAUAGUUAUAAAGGUGGAUUUAAUUGUAAUAAAAUUUUAAUAAGAUUUUAUGAUAUAAGAACUAAAUUGUGUACAUAU